CAUAAUCUGAAAAUAGUUUGGACUAUUUUUCUUUAUAUGCUUGCAUCUUAAACUGUAUUAUGCUUAUUGCAUGCACUACAGCAUUGAGUGACACCUAAUGUGGGGUUUUGUACUAACCAAAAGGUGUUUUUUAAUUAUAAACAGUAAUUUAGCUUUAGAUAUUCAUAGAGUGUAUUUGCUUGACUAACUUAUGGCCUUUUUCACUAAUGCUUCAUGGUUGUCCUACAACCAUUUAGGACGCUGCAUUGGGAUACAGAUCCAUCAGUUCUUCAGCUUCACUCAGAUUCCGAUUUGGGGUAUUGAAUAGAUUUAUUACCUUCCCUCUUUUAUAAUUAAUUUUACUCUUUGUGAAACUGUCCUAAUUUUAUUUUGCUUAAACUUCU
rnacentral:lncRNA from 1 species